AAAGAGAAAGAAGAUGAGAAGAGUCAGACAUAGAGAAACAGAAAAGAGAGGAACUAAAUGUGGGAUGAAAAAGUACUGAAAAGGCCUAACUAUGAUAGAAGUAGCAACGGCAGAAAGCAGCUCCCAUUUUUUUGAAAGACAUUUGAAUUACUAAAUCUUGAGAGCUGGUGAAGGGGCAGUGUGGAACAGAAAUUCAAUAUAUCUGAAGACAAGACACAGCUGACUGGAGCUGGUACCAAUGAGGUGCAUGAACUGGUUGGCCCUGCAAGUGUUGAAAAAAUCGUAAAAUGGACUUGAUCCUUUAUGAAGGAACUGCUGCUCAGAGUAAAGAAGAAUUACUAGGUUAUGCUCACAGGAACAGAGAACAGUCAGGAAGCAGCAGGAAGUGAGAGUAAGGAAGAUGCCUCCUCUUUCUCUUGCAGUUUUGCAAUCUCCUCCAUGUGUGCCUCAUGAGCAGAGUCUAACAGGGAGCCAGCCAAUAAAGCAGAAAUCUUUCCAGAGUCUUAGCUGCAGCGUCACCAAGUAGAUGCUGAGACAGUAGUAGCUGAUAUUGGACACAGUUCACCUCUUUAGCAACAGUGCAUGCAUCCUCACACUUUCCAUACAUAUUUACAUUUCCAUACAACAACCAUAAUACCAUGUUUCUGCCUAACAAGCCGCAACUAUUAUUCACAGCACAAAGACAUUCUCCAAAAUGAAGAGUCUCAAAAUCCCAAGAAUCAUAUUCAUUUCUGAUAAACAUUCACAUUAUCCACCUCUGAGCUGUGUCAAUUGUUUCAAAACUAAAGUAAAAAUUCCAUUUGCAGUAAACUCUGUGGGCUGGAUUGGAGUAAGAGAUGUUAGUAUAAACUCAUGUUAAUUUUAAUAUGGCUACAUACAGAAGUAUAAAUAGAAAAAUAAUUCUGGGUAUGUAUGUAUGUAAGGGUAUAUAUCUAUCUGUAUAUCUAUAGAUAGAUAUACUGUAUUGGUCCAUUUUCACACUGCUAUAAAGAUACUCCUGGGAUGGGCAACUUUUAAACAAAUGAAGUUUAAUUGCCUCAGUUACACAUGGCUGGGGAGGCCUCAGGAAACCUUAUGGCAGGAGGCAAAGAGGAAGCAACGCACGUCUUCACAAGGCAGCAGAAGAGAAAGAGAACGAAAGAGGAACUCCUGAACCCUUUUAAAACCAUCAGCUCUGGCUGGAUUUGUGGAUUCACUUGCAAAGAAAAGAUGAGAGAAAGAGGACCACAAAUAACUUUACAGUGGAAAAAAGGGCAGAUCUACCAAGAGAUCAAGGCUGACAUCACAGAUACUGUGUUUGUCGCAAAUUGAAAGUUUGUGGCAACCCUCCAUCAAGCAAGUCUAUCAGCACCACUGCAUCAUUUUUCCAACAGCAUGUGCUCACUUCAUGUCUCGGUGUCAUCAUUUUGGAAGGAUAGAGAAAAUAGAAGAUAUCGAGAGGAAAGAGCAAAAAGUUUUGCUUUUUUAUUCUGAGAAAGUAAUGCAUAUUUCUGCUCAUGAAUCAGAAUUUCCAAGUAAUCCAGACAGUGAGCCUCCACUGAGAACAAAGAAGAUCUUCAAAGCCACCAGUCAGCCAAAGAGGUCAUAAGUGAGAACCUCUCAGUGAGAUGCCAGGACUUCUGGAGAGAACUCCUACUAGAAUUCCUCAGAAUCAGCACAGCAAUGUUUUGCCCAGGCCCCCUUCCCUGCCCUGGUAAGACUGGAGUUGCUUCACCCUGGCCAUUAAAUUGGAAAUAAAAUGUCUUUGCGUAGAUGAUACCUGUUAGCCUGAUGGAAGAACUUCUUGUAUUAUGUUUUUUUUUUCUAAUUUAGUUAGAAAAGUACCUUAAUCAGAAUUCAAAGAUGCAUAAGCGUACUGUCUUUAAAAUUGUCACAUUGGUAAGUUAUGUAGAUUUUUAAAAACAUUACUGCCAUUUAUCAAGGCACUUGGAGAGUAUGUCCUUUAGAAUUAUAUUCCAAGUCCUUUCAAAGCUACAUUCAUUCCUUAGCCUAUUCUCAAAACAAAUUGGAGAGGAUAGGCUUACAGCAUAACCUCCUAGAAUAGGCAAAGACACCUACAAAUACUUAUUAAGCUACCUCUUGUCUUUCCAAACUUGCUUACAGUCAGAAAGUCUAACCUAUUUAGAAAGUAAGUCCAUUCAGUUUUAUGUGUGAGAAUGGUAACAGUCUAAUCACUUCCAUUCUUUGGAUACUAAUGACUUUGGGAUAUUUCCAAAACCAGAUGUACUUUCAAAAAAUGGCUAUUUGAAAUUACUUAGUAAUGCCUAGUGAAUUAGCUUUUUCUACUUAAAGGUAGACUUCAGCUCUUCAACAAUACCUACAAAAUCACAUAGGUCUUCUUGGUAUAUGCAAAUUUUUUUGUUCCUUCUUUGUAACUGUACGUAAAGAUGGAUUCUCAAUAUUAAUGGGGAUAUUCACAUCUCUGAAUUACUGGAACCAAUAUUUUUCUAAUUGAUAUAAAGCUAGAUAUUUUCAAAUUUUAUUAGAUGUUAUUGUCAGGUGCUAAGUCAAUUGUGUAAUAUAUUAUUAAACAAUGUAAAGAAGUUUCUCAACAUGUUACCUAUUUCAAUAAAAAUAAUUUUUGCAACAGCAUAUGGUUUUGAAUUAAAAAUAGAAAAUAA
rnacentral:lncRNA from 1 species